rnacentral:rRNA from 1 species
AUCUGGUUCAGGACGAACGCUGGCGGCGUGCCUAACACAUGCAAGUCGAGCGAGGAGAUUCCUUCGGGAUGAUCCUAGCGGCGGACGGGUGAGUAACACGUGGGCAACCUGCCUCAUAGAGAGGAAUAGCCUUCCGAAAGGGAGAUUAAUACCUCAUAACAUUGCAGUUUCGCAUGGAACAGCAAUUAAAGGAGUAAUCCGCUAUGAGAUGGGCCCGCGGCGCAUUAGCUAGUUGGUGAGGUAACGGCUCACCAAGGCGACGAUGCGUAGCCGACCUGAGAGGGUGAUCGGCCACAUUGGGACUGAGACACGGCCCAGACUCCUACGGGAGGCAGCAGUAGGGAAUCUUCCGCAAUGGACGAAAGUCUGACGGAGCAACGCCGCGUGAGUGAAAGAAGGUUUUCGGAUCGUAAAACUCUGUUGUCAGAGAAGAACAAGUUGGAGAGUAACUGCUCCAGCCUUGACGGUAUCUGACCAGAAAGCCACGGCUAACUACGUGCCAGCCGCCGC